UACGAAGGGGGCUAGCGUUGUUCGGAAUUACUGGGCGUAAAGCGCACGUAGGCGGCCAUUUAAGUCAGGGGUGGAAUCCCAGAGCUCAACUCUGGAACUGCCUUUGAUACUGGGGAUCUCGAGUCCGGAAGAGGUGAGUGGAACUCCGAGUGUAGAGGUGAAAUUCGUAGAUAUUCGGAAGAACACCAGUGGCGAAGGCGGCUCACUGGUCCGGUACUGACGCUGAGGUGCGAAAGCGUGGGGAGCAAACAGG
rnacentral:rRNA from 1 species